AAGGUAAAACAGAUUCUCACAUUGCUAACAUUUGUCCAUGAAUAAUUAAAAGGUAGCUAUAUUAUUUUUAAAGUUCUUUUCAGCCUUCGAGGCAAAUGAAAAAUAAAAGGUUGUAGGUAACUGAAGCAGUUACUUGAAUUGCUCUGUCAAAAAAUUCCAACCACUUUUAUGUGUACUACAUAACUGAGGCUAAGGGAGAUCCCUGAAUUGAAAGAUCAAUAAUUCUUUUGGUUUUGUGAAUGUGGUUAAUAUUUAUCUGUGUCUGAAAAAGUCUUCUCUUUUUCAAUAAGCUCUAUUCUCUGUUAAUUCCAGAAGAAGCUCUGUUGGUUUUAGAGAAAGAGGUGAGUUAAAUCCAGUGUCUUUUUUUAAUCUUCAGAACAGACCAUCUAGAUGACAAAUAUUAUCAACUACUUUUUACUGAGGGAUGCAACUAGAUUUUAUAAGCUCCUUAAAAAUUACAAUGUGUUGAGUUAUUUGCUCAAGUGGAGAGGUAGACAUUGAGCUGCCGAGCCAAAUGGUUUUUCCUUUCUUUAAACAUUCUUUUAUUUGAAAUGCAGAGUUACAGAGAGAGAUCUUCCAUCUGCUGGCUCCAUUCCCCAAAUGACUACAAUGGUAGGGACUGGGUCAGGCUGAAGCCAGGAGCCAGGAGCCAGGAGCCAGGAGCCAGGAGCCAGGGGCUCCAUCUAGGCCACACACACGGGUGGCAGAGGUCCAAAUACUUGGUUCAUCUUCUGCUGCUUUUAGGCCGUUAGCAGGGAGUGGGUUUGGAAGUGGAGCAGUAAAGACUUGAACCAGCGCUCAUAUGGGAUGCUGGUGUUGUAAGCAGCAGCUUAAUCCACUUCACCACAAUGCCAGCCCAUCAGAUGGGUUUUUGGUGAUGAACUAAAUCCUCCUUGGCAUCUCUACAGCCGUGAUUUAUAGGUCUCCCUGUGGGAGGUGAGGAACUAGAAGAUAUUCUUCCGUAACCUUCGCUGCACUCUAGACCACGUGACGGGAUUCAGCUCAUGGUCCCAGUGUUCCACUUAAGACGGAUGUGUCUGAGCGUUUGGUCCAGGACCAAGGCAGGGAGAAGCAGGCAGACCUGGUUUUACUGGGCUUUGCUUUAUUGAGCCUCACCGACUGAAGGUUGGUGGUAACCCUGAACCAAACAAGUCUGUCAGUGCCAUUUUGACCAGCAUGCACUCAGUUCAUGUAUCAGGGUCAUACUGGGAGUUUUUAAAAUAAGCAUGCACUUUAUUUUUAGCCUAGUUCUAUUGCGUGCCUAGUAAGUUAUGGUAUAGUAUAAACAUAAAUUUUACAUGCACUCGGGGAGAAACCCACAUGAUGUGGAACCAAACCUGCAACAUCUCCAAGGUAUGCUUGUAGGUAGAAGCUACAUUGCCAUUCCUAAGAACACAGGCAGUGCACAAUUACUUAAAGGAAGACAUGUAAAACAGGAAGUCUUUGUCUUCGCCUCUGAACAGUCCUGUUCAAUGCUACUGUCCCUUCCACAUGGCCAUCUUGCUAGGGGUGGAAUCACACUUGGGUUUCCACGGGACAGUCUGAUGUAUUUAUAAGACCCAGAAUUUCGGGCAGCUGUAAAAGAGGGCAUGCAGCCUGGCUUUCCUCUUUUAAAUCAUUCUCUUUGGAAGCCUUUAGAAAUUGCUUCUGUUAAUUUCAGCAGUGAAAUUUCGUGAGUUUCUGGCCUGUGGCUUCCAUGAAAGCCUCUUGCCCUUAUUCACAAAGAACCCUAGUUCAGCAAUGAUGUGAACUCUUCUUUUUCCCCUCCCCCCGUAAGUGACAUACUUUUAAAUGUGCAAGUGCCAGCUUCCAAAUUUCCGUAACUCCUGAAUGGAUGUCACAGAGGACACACACCCGGAAUGCCUGCAUGACCCCAGUUUAUUUCCUGUAGCCCAUCUGCACUCACACGUUGCUGAUGAAAAAGAAAGAACAGCUUGCUGCAUUUAGGAAUCUCAGUUGUAGGGAUGAGCGGAGGUUCAGGGGAAAAGCUGCAUACACUGGAGUCAUACAAAAAGUAGACUGCUGAGAGCGUCUUUGGAAAUGUGAGCCUUAGAACAAAGGGGCUGAUUUUGCCAUGGUGCUGAAGUUGCAGUGGGUCAGCUCCCGCAGCUUUGAUUACUGCUUAGAACUUCAGAAUUCAGAUGCUAGGAAAAUGCAGGAGCCAUCUAUCACAUGUGCAUUAAAAAAAGACAUGUGUCUUCGAAGGGAAAAACUACUGGGUGUCUCUAGAUACAAAAUGCAUAUUCAUUUAUUUAUAUUUAAGUAGGGCUUUCAAUAACCAUUGGCAUUCAAAAACUGAAAGAGAUGGAAAUUGCAUAAUUUAAUCUAAUUUUUUAAUCUUCCAAGAAUAGAAAAAAAAUGUUUAUUGAGACAGGACAGCUCAAUAGCACAUUAUAUAAUACCACAGCUUACACAGUAAAGCAGUUUUGACUUAGGAAAUUAGUUUUGUGUAAGCCCAGCCGUUAGUAUCACCUGUGGGGGACUGAUGUGUUCCACGGUUCGUCCUGAAGAUUCACGGUAGUGAGAUUUCUGCGCAUGAGGUCGAGGAGGGUUCAGGGGCUCCGGUUCAACCCUGACCUCACCAGGAUGCCAGAGGUGGCAGCAACGGUGUCGGGGGGUGGGGGGGAGCAGACGCGAUUCCUCCCCUACAACAGGUUAACGGCUAACAAUCAGGAAAUUUCCCAGCUGAAAAAUUCAGAGUGAGUUAAGUCAAAAAAUAGACAAGUAGACUAUGCCUCUUUCAUAUUCCCCUGGGGAAUGGCUGCUUCUUCUAAACAUUUCUUUUUAUUUUUUAAUAUUGUAUCCCUAGAAGAGGGAAGUUAAUCAGUAGCAAAGAAAUUUGGUUUUUCAUUGGACCCUGACUGUUUCGCUCAUGCUUUCAUUGGAAAUACUUUUAACUUGUUGUUGUUUUUAAAAUAAUGCUAUCUGGUGAUGUUACCGUGGUAACCAUGCCUUGGCAACCAACCCUGAGUACUGCCCAAAUGGUAUUCACAAACUGGAGCAUGGAGCAGUGAGUCCCAGAGCCUGCCCUAUUCUCACCUGGGGACUCUCCCAACAAUGAGCAGAAUGAGAAGAUGCUAAGCUGGAGAAAGGACGUUAUCUUGAGUGGAGACACAGAAGAGCCCAAAGGACUAAAAAAAAUGUGCUGGAAGUUCAUUUCCUUGAAGCAAACAUGGACUUUUUAAAGUUUCAGCUCUUCCCACCUUUCUCCUGACGGCCGUUGGUGUUCUAGUUGCAGCCUGGAAUGCGUCCUUCUAUGCUUGGGGGCAACCGACUGGUCUCUAAGGCUGGACUGAUCAUGGCACUGACCUGCCGCCUUGAAUGGCUUCUGACCACUGUGGAGAACAAACUCGCACUUCGCCCCUCAUGAUCCGUCCCUGCCUGGUUCUGGCUUCAUAAUUUGCCCUGCACUGUGAAUAAAUCUCACCUGCUUCCUGGAUC